UAUGCUUUGGUGUAAAGGCACAUAAAGUUUUGAUCUUUAGGGGGUUGGUGUGAUUCCAAUAAGUGUAG
rnacentral:tRNA from 1 species